GUUCUGGUGGUUCAAUGGUUAAGCUUUUGGCUGCUAACCAAAUGGUUGGCGAUUCGAAUCCUUCCAGGGCU
rnacentral:tRNA from 1 species